CAAUAGCGUAUAUUAAAGUUGUUGCAGUUAAAAAGCUCGUAGUUGGAUUUCUGGUGAGAUGGAUUAUGUCUAGGUCGAAAGAUCUUGUUCAUGGUUCGUUUUGCCCUUCUUGUCAGGAACCCGCUGAGAUUCGCGUCUUGUCGGUGGAAUGGCAUCGUUUACUGUGAAAAAAUUAGAGUGUUCAAAGCAGGCAUCGCCGUUGAAUACAUUAGCAUGGAAUAAUAAGAUAAGACUUUGGUGGUCUAUUUUGUUGGUUUGCACGCCAAAGUAAUGAUUAAUAGGGAUAGUUGGGGGUAUUCGUACUCUAUUGCUAGAGGUGAAAUUCUUAAAUUUAUGGAAGACGAACUACUGCGAAAGCAUUUACCAAGGAUGUUUUCAUUAA
rnacentral:rRNA from 1 species